CUAAGCGCUCUGGGCUCUCUGGUUCCUCGCCCCAUCAGCAUAGGUAGGAUUUCCAGCUUACUUUCAAGGUCUCUUCCUCCUGCCAGGUAUUGCAGGGAGGCCCCGGAAGGUGUCACCUGUGCACUCAGGCAUCAGCCCUGCCGCAGCUUCCCUCUGCUGCCUCAGGCUGCCAACUGCUGCUGCCUGAAUGCCCUUCUGGCUGCUGCUCCCUGAAGCACCCUGGCCUCUGCAGUGCCAGUCAUCAGUCACCUCUACUGCUCCUGCCCACUGCUGCUAGGGACCUGCGGAUGGACAGCGAGUGGCUGCAGCAUCAUCACUCUCUAUCCUCAAGAGUCCCUGGCGGCUGCAGUCUAGCAUGAAAGCAGAUGGAAGACAUCACCCUCUUGCCUGCAUUAGCCUGAUCGGGGGUCCUCUGCAAAUGGCUGAGCCCCAAGCCCCUGAGUUGGGAACUGAAGUUGCAGAACAAACUGCCACCAAGAAAUCUGGACAGUCAGGGCAUCCAGAGAGACAUAACCAAGAUCUGCUUCUCUGGAACAGAAGCUGCUGAAGCCCUGAAUUGAGUGUACUCCUACUUAUUCGUUUCUAAGUGAACAAUAAGAGAGCCUCAGGCAGAUCCUUCAAGAGAUGUUGCAGAUGAAGGCAAUUGUUAUCAGAGGAGAUGACAGCUCCAUGAGUGUUAUUGCCCCUGAAGACCUUCCGGUGGGACAAGAUGUGGAGGUGGAAAACAUUGAUAUUGAUUCGAUGAUCUCUAACCCUGUGUUGGCCUAGUCUAAUGUGUGUUUCUGUCUUAGUUUUUCACCAAAAUAGUUUAAAAAGUAAAAAUUAAUAAAUAAAUAAAAAUGUUAAUCAUAGGAAAAAGUGUAUGGAAUAAGAA
rnacentral:lncRNA from 1 species